rnacentral:lncRNA from 1 species
GUGACCAUUUGAUGUGAAGGCAAAAUCCUGAACAGCAGGGUCAGACCCCUGGCUGCUACUCCUCUCAUAGCCAUCUCCAGACUGCCAAGAGAUAAUUUAGCUUCACAACAACUUCCCCCAGUGAACGGCUGGGGAUACACUAUGAAGAAGCAGCAGAUACACAACUUCUAAAUACAGAAGGAGGCAAAUAAAAAUCUGAGGUGUGAAAGAAGAGAAAAGAAGAGCUUCUUUGCAGAACUGGCUGCAUACCGACAAGUCACACACUUUCCCCAGAGAGAAAAAACACUUUUCCUCUUGCCAUAUUGUAUAACUUUGGUCAUUAUAAUAAGGGGAUCUAAUUAACGUAAAUAAAACCACUAAACUUACAAACAGCUUUAUGGGGACUUUAUUUUUAUGCAGUUAUUUUACAACAAGAGUUAGUGUUUUCUAAACAGCUGCUUUAAAUAAUUAACUU